rnacentral:rRNA from 1 species
UACGGGGGGGGCGAGCGUUGUUCGGAAUUACUGGGCGUAAAGGGCUCGUAGGCGGCCAACUAAGUCGGAUGUGAAAUCCCCAGGCUUAACCUGGGAACUGCAUCCGAUACUGGAUGGCUUGAAUCCGGGAGAGGGAUGCGGAAUUCCAGGUGUAGCGGUGAAAUGCGUAGAUAUCUGGAGGAACACCGGUGGCGAAGGCGGCAUCCUGGACCGGCAUUGACGCUGAUGAGCGAAAGCCAGAGGAGCAAACGGG